rnacentral:tRNA from 1 species
GCGGGUUUGGCCGAGUGGUCAUGCGCCAGCCUUCCAAGCUGUGUACGCCGGUUCAAUUCCGGCAAUCCGCUCCA